AGUCUAUGUGCCUCACCGAGGACACAGCCGGAUCAGACCAUCUGAACUCUCCGCUGAGUGCACAGUCUGUGUGGUAGACUCCAGUCAUGCUGUCUUCUUCCUGUGGGAUUGCUACAUCCAUUGCUUUAGGUUGACCCUCUACAAACACAAGUAAAGUUUGACUUGAAUGUUAUAGUCCAUGCAAAAUCAAGAGUGCCUUGCACACAUUAGAGGUCAGUGGCUACCCGCUCAUCAUUAGAACUGUUCAGUCUACAUAAGAUCCCCGAGCCAUGAGGGUGGAACUUUGAUGAAGACAUCUAUUUAGGACUGAGGGCUCUAAAGUCUCUCGCUCUCUACAUAAUGGCCAGUGAAAACAGUCCCUGAUUCUGGUGCACACAUUGAAAGCACUCACCCCGAGGAAUAGAAAAUCUGUGACGAUGUCUCAAAGAGGAGUUAAAAAACGAAACUGGGUGUGGACCAGAGGAGACCCCGGGAAGCAUUCUGGGAAGCAGACAGAACUGUGUCCAUUUUGGUGCUGUAAGUAGGCAUGCUGAGGAGAAGAAGGUGUGUGAUUAUCCACAAGAAGAAUUCAGGCAAGCUAUUACUGAAGAAGGCCUGGGAAAGGUUGGAGAAAACUCAGACCUCCUGGCUUUGGACAAUGUAAUACAGUGCAGGAAAUGAAAUUCUCUGAGAAAUUUAAUCCCUGGGAAGAUAAAUCACUAUCUGAUUGGAACCCUUAUUUGGUUUACCACAUCCAACAGUCCAUUUGGUUGGGCAAUAAAGCCAAGACCACCAUCAAUUAAAAUCAUAGUCUAGGAAAUGUUUUAAGAUUCGUCUGAAUCCCAGAGCUGAUCAGAGGAAAGGACAGCUGAUAAUUGAUUCAGCAAAGAUCUACCCAAGGAACACCCAUUGGUGGUUUCAAAUUCAGUGAAGAUGUUAGAGAAAAACAACCCAUUCAGAAAAAAACAGCAUGUCCAAAGAUCAAGAAAGAAAAUGUUAGCCAGCCAAAGAGCGUCAACUUUCCAGAGGAAAGAGAAUACAGGUAAAGAAGAGAAAACAGAGAUGAAGGGCAGAGAAGAGCUGAAGAAACAGAAACAUAAGCGGUAGGAACAAGAAAUGAUAGGACCGUGGCUUAGACAGGCAUGCCUAGGACUCCCAAACCUCUCAGGCUCUACAGUAGAAAACACACCCCUCUGUGUCUUCCAUAAACCAUUAUGGAUUUCCACAUCCAGACACGGACGAUAUCUGGAUCCAUCACUAUGAGUUUGAAUGCGGACAGCGAGAGUGAAGCUUUGUGGUUACCGGGUCAGUCCUUUAGCAUCGCUCUGUGAGGGAGGAAGAAUCAUAUCCUCAUUUAAGAGGAGAAGACUGAAGUGAGCGGGGCUAAAUCAGUCAGCACAGGAGCUGGGGAAGUGGAAUGUAAAACCGGGUGAAGCACAUUCGCUUAUGCUCCGGAGGGCUGAGUCCUGUAGCUCCAAACAGGUCCAUCCAGCCAAACGAUCACAACCAAUAGCUCUUCCGGCCAGCAUCGCAGAAGAAUGUUUCCCUUCUUUUGGCCAAUCGUGGGUUUCUGAAGAUCUUCACAGUCUGGCAUAUUCCAUUUAGUGCAAGAUCCCAGGUGACCUGGGAAAAUAAGAUAAUCCCGUCCCCAAACACCAUCAUCAAAAAUACAGUCCCUUUACCUUCUCACAAGCAAAUGCCACCAUCGAGAAGAACUGUGUUAAGGGGAAAUAAAAGAGAUCACAAGGGGAAUUUUCUUGAAAAUGUCACAGGUUCACCAAGGCUUGACUUUAUGAUGCGAGCAGGAAAAAAAAAAUGUGAUUGUAUGUACCUUCAAGUGGCUCCGAGAAAGAGGAGCUCUCGAUAAAUCAGAAAAAGUCUGUGUCAAACCCAUCUAAGGAUAAUGUUUUCUAAAGAUCUUAAAGGAAGGCCUCAAUGAAUGUCUGCCUUCUCAGGUUAACUACAGGAAAAGAAUAUAGGCUAGAGGCUGGCAUGCUAAUUGCAACACUUUAUCCAAAUUCUUUGCAACCUAUCAUCUGGAGUAAAAUAUUGAAUAUAGGCCACUCAGAGAAGUCUCUCUAGUGCAAGAGCAGCAGACAGAAGACUAAGCUUGCAUUUCCCACCCUGAAGCCUGAAGAAUGUCCCAGAACCUAUCUUCCUUCCCGGAGCGGCAGAAUCCUCGCAGGGAAUAUGAAAAGAGAGAUUGACAAAUAAGACACCCUGGGGUUGAGAGCAGCACUUUCAUGGGUGACGUUUAAAUUGUUGCCAUGUGCUUGCCCUUGCUUGGGAGUCAUCAUCCUGAUUGGUGGACUAGAAUUUCCCCUGGCUAAAUUAGCCUCUCUCUCUCUCCUGGAUUUUCCCCAAGGAACACAAUUUACCAGCAAAAAACUUUCCCUGCUGGCUUUUUAUCUUUUAAAAUAUUCAUCAUAAUAUGCAAGAGCCGAGUACAAGACACACUCAGGCUCGAUUCUUGGUCUGAGCUCUUAGCAGUCAUCUGAUCUGGUGAAAAGCUCAUUUAUCACAUAGUCUCCAACAUGUCCAUUCAUUUUAAUGUCAUUUUCCAAGUUCCAGUUUGGGAACAAUAAAGUUCUCAACACCCAUGAGGAAAGUAUUUGGAGUUCAACAAACGUUAGUUAACUCUGUUACUUUUCAAAUAUUGGCAGGCUUCUUUUUAAGAAAUGAAAAAAAAAAUUACAGACAGGUACAUUUAAAAUAUAUUUGAUAUACAAUAUGGGAAAGGAGGAAGGUAACAUUUUAAUGCCUUCCUAGAGUCUUUCUUCUUAUUUCCAUGGAAAGGUGACAGAUGGGCGGGUGCUUUAUACGAGCCUACAUUCUGUUGCCACAGUUGAUUUUUGGGUUUCCUCUACUGGAUUAUACACUGCGUGAACGCAAUGUGCUGUCAUGCUUUAGAAUCUUUCCAAAUGAGAGACUCAUGGUAGAGGAGCUAUGUGAAAGUAGUAAGAUGGCCAGCCCUCCUAGGAGCAUCUGUAUCUGCUUUGAUUCAGAGACAGUCUUCAGGCCUGCAGCAUUCAGACCAAAUGGAGGUAUAAAUGGGCACCAUGGAGAAAUCAAACCUUCAAAUUUUAAGUACAGUGCAUGAGGAUGAACCCCAGGUCAAUUGCAUAGAUCAGAUCUUUAGUAAGAUCAUAGAAACAAAGGAGAAAGGCAAACCUAAACAGACAUAAGAAGUACAUGUAACACCAAAUAGACAAGACUAGAAAAAGAAUCCCCACAGCAUAUCAGAGGUAAAACAUUGAGUAUAUUAACAAGAAAGUGCAUUGAAAGAUGUAAGAGAGGAAAAAACCCCACAGGUGGCAUUGUAAAGGAAAAUCCAUCCAAAUAAAGCGGAUUUAUCAAGAGAAACUCAGAAAACCAGAAGAGCUAGGAGUGAUGCAUUCCAAGUCCCAAAAGACUAUGACAACCAGCCUAGAUUAAUACAUCCAGAAAAGUUCACCGUAAUUGAAAAAGCAAGACCAACUUCCCACAAUAUAAACAGCAUUAAAAAAUUAAAAUUCAACAAACCUAGAGAAAAUACAGGAAGCAAUAUCUGGGGUUGAAGAGAAGACUGAUCAUAGUCAAGAGACUGUGGAUAGAAAUACAAAUCCACUGAGAACACAAACAAAAAUUAACAAAACGUUAACCGCAUAAUUAUUGCACACAUUUCAAUAAUAUCGUUAAACAUCAGUGGCCUCGUUCCUCCAAUCAAAAUUCACGGACUGACUGAAUGGAUCAGAAAAUAAAAUCCAUCUAUUGACUAUCUACAAAAAAUAAAACACAUCUAAACUUCAAAGAUAGACACCACCUUAAAGGGUGGAUCAAAGUGCUCCAAUAAUCACCGAAUGUGAAGAAGUCAAGCUGAUGCCUAAUUAGAGCCUUCACCCCUACCAACCAGUAUUCAUGGUCUAGAAGGAGCUCUGAGUGUUACCAGAACAGAAACGUAAACAUCAACCUAACUACAAACCCUGUUAUUUAAAAUUGUCACCUGCCUGCAUGAGAUACUGGUACAAUAGUGCCACAGACGGUUGUAGAAGUAACCUACCAUGGAUUUAAGGACCACUUCAUAAGAUGGAACCUAUGCACAACUCUGCUCAGUUAACAGAGAACCUGAUGUUAGACAGGCCAUGGGCUUAGGGGGAAAUCAAAUAUUGCUGUUCUGCUAAAGGAGCUUUGCUAUUAAAUGACUUUUAAUGGCAUUCCACUAUAACCAGAAAUCAGUGUCUCGCUCAGCCAUCACCAGAGAAGAUUCCUCUUGCAGUAGAUGAGAAUUAAUACAAAAAUCCACUACCAAAGAAUGUGAGAAGAGGUGAGAGACUUUGGAACCAUCAGUCCUAAAUGGGAUGUCUUCAUCACAUCCCAUCCUUCAGGGCUCAGCUAUGUGGAAGAGGCAGAAAAGGUUGCAAGAGCCAGAGGAGAAGAAUGGCACAAAAGAAAUAGUGUCUUCCAGAUUCAACAGGACUAAGGCACAUAUGAGCUCACAGACUGUGGCAGCAUGCAUAGGACCUGGACAGGUCCAAGCCAGACAAUGUCCUGACACCAAGCGGGAAAGUGAUCUGAACAAAGAAAUAUCAGAAUUAAAGGUAUCUUAUAUCAAAUGGACUUAACAGAGAUCUACAGAAAAUUCCACCCAAAUAACAAAAACACACAUGUGUGUAUACGUUGAUAUACGGAUAUAACAACAAUUAAUAAAAAAGAGAUCAUAAAUUUGAAAGAGAGCAAGAAGGGGCAUACGUGAGGGUUUAGAAGGAGCAAAGAGGAAGGGAAAAUAUUUAAUUGUAAUAUCAAAAAAUAAAAGAAGUUUUUUUAGAGAAGAUAGCCUGUACUCUCAGUUUUAUGGUUAGUAAGUUGCUGUGAAUAGAUCUUCAGUCAUACUUUUCACAAGAAAGGAACUUCAGGAGAUGUGCACUUUAAUUAUUAAGUUAUGACUAUCAAGUGUUCAUCCUUAUCUUUACAUUUAUAGAUGAAAUAACUCAGGUUGGAGUACAUAAUAAAGAACAUAGAGCCAGGUGUGAUAACGGUGUGGCCCAAUACUUUGUCAACCUGAUGCAGACCAGGUUCAUUUGGAAAGAGGGAAUCUUAUUAAGAAGAUGCCUUCAUCAAACUGUCUGGUGAGUGGGGGAACUUUUUCUUGAUUAACGAUUGAUGCAAGAGGGCCCAUCCCACUGUGGGCAGUGUUCCUGGUGAGUAUAAGAAAUAUAACUGAAUAUGAACCUGGAAAACACGCCAUGUUGUAGCUUCCAUCCAUGGUCCCUUGCUAUGUCCCCCUUGGGUUCUUGGCCUGACUCCCUUCAGUGAUUGACAAAGAAGUUCUUUUUUCUCCAAUGUGGUUUUGAUGAGUGUUUUAUUAAAGCAACAGAAGCCUACAUACAGGAGUGUGUGCCUCCAUGCCCUGGUCAAGGUGAGACUGGAGAACGGCCAAUUCCAAACCAGCCAAGGCUGUAUAUCAUGACCUUGCAUCGAACAAACACCAUAGAAGAUACUAUUGUCCAAAAACAAGUGCAUUUGGAUCUGCAAUGAUUUGAGGAUGGAUAUGAAGAAGAACCAUUGUAUUAUUCAAGAGGGGGAAUGACUAUAGUGUAUACUAAGAUACUAUAUUACAUUUAAAUAUGAAAAUUAAAUCAUGGUUAAGUCAUGACUCUAGUGCAAUGACCUUGUGAGAAGUAAAAGCCAGACAGACAUAAAUGCAAAAGCCCACCUGCUCUGAUAAUCCCACUGCGCUUCUGGGUCUUCCUGAAACCGUCUGUGUUGAUUAAGAUGCUUUUUAAUGAAUCGAGGUUGAGGGUUAUUGAUCUAUAAAAGUCUUUAUGAUUCAGCUGCUGUGGAACUGUCCACCUUCCCCCAGCCUCAGGGGGAUGCUUUUCCAGCCGUGCCAAGUUGAUUCUUGGAAAUUUACAUGCGGCUAUCUGCUUCACAAUAAAUUCGUGUGUAAAUCCCU